UGGAUGUGCUCGAAAGAGAACCUGAACACAGGUGCUGCAUGGCUGUCGUCAGCUCGUGUCGUGAGAUGUUGGGUUAAGUCCCGCAACGAGCGCAACCCUUGUCAUUAAUUGCCAUCAUUCAGUUGGGCACUUUAAUGAGACUGCCGGUGACAAACCGGAGGAAGGUGGGGAUGACGUCAAGUCCUCAUGGCCCUUAUGGGUAGGGCUUCACACGUCAUACAAUGGUCGGUACAGAGGGUUGCCAACCCGCGAGGGGGAGCCAAUCCCACAAAGCCGAUCGUAGUCCGGAUCGCAGUCUGCAACUCGACUGCGUGAAGUCGGAAUCGCUAGUAAUCGUGGAUCAGCAUGUCACGGUGAAUACGUUCCCGGGUCCUU
rnacentral:rRNA from 1 species